rnacentral:rRNA from 1 species
UACAGAGGCCCCAAGCGUUACUGAGAAUCACUGGGUUUAAAGGGUGCGUAGGUGGCGCGUUAAGUCCGUUGUGAAAGCCCCGGGCUCAACCUGGGAAUUGCAUUCGAGACUGAAUAGCUAGGGUACGGUAGAGGGAAGCGGAAUUUCCGGUGUAGCGGUGAAAUGCGUAGAUAUCGGAAGGAACAUCAGUGGCGAAAGCGGCUUCCUGGACCAGUACCGACGUUCAGGCACGAAAGCGUGGGGAGCAAACAGG